CCUACGGGAGGCAGCAGUGAGGAAUAUUGGUCAAUGGGCGCGAGCCUGAACCAGCCAAGUCGCGUGAGGGAAGACGGUCCUAUGGAUUGUAAACCUCUUUUGUCGGGGAGCAAACUACGCCACGCGUGGCGUUCCGAGAGUACCCUAAGAACAAGCAUCGGCUAACUCCGUGCCAGCAGCCGCGGUAAUACGGAGGAUGCGAGCGUUAUCCGGAUUUCUUGGGUUUAAAGGGUGCGCAGGCGGAAGAUGAAGUCCGCGGGAAAAUUGAGAGGCUCAACCUCUUCGAGCAGUUGAAACUGGUAGUCUGGAGUGAGCGAGAAGUAGGCGGAAUGCGUGGUGUAGCGGUGAAAUGCAUAGAUAUCACGCAGAACUCCGAGUGCGAAGGCAGCAUACCGGAGCGCAACUGACGCUCAUGCACGAAAGUGUGGGUAUCGAACAGGAUUAGAUACCCUUGUAGUC
rnacentral:rRNA from 1 species